UACAGAGGUCUCAAGCGUUGUUCGGAUUCAUUGGGCGUAAAGGGUGUGUAGGUGGCGCGCUAAGUCGGGGGUGAAAUUUCGGAGCUUAACUCCGAAACUGCAUUCGAGACUGGCGUGCUUGAGGACUGGAGAGGAGACUGGAAUUCAUGGUGUAGCAGUGAAAUGCGUAGAGAUCAUGAGGAAGACCAGUGGCGAAGGCGGGUCUCUGGACAGUUCCUGACACUGAGACACGAAGGCCAGGGGAGCAAACGGG
rnacentral:rRNA from 1 species